rnacentral:lncRNA from 1 species
GUGGAGUCAGCGGACUGAACUUCCCUUAUUCUCUGGAUUAACUCAAGCUGAAAGGCCAAGUGGCCCAAACAUGUGACUUUCCUCAAGUCUUGAAGCCAUACCUGUUGUGCAGCCCCUAUCUGCCUACAUUCUGAAACCAUCAAUUGGGCUAAUGUACCUGCACUUUUCUUGUUGAGUACGUCGGCUACCACGUUGUCCUUACCCGGG